rnacentral:rRNA from 1 species
AAMSGGUWGAGUGCUAGGUGUUGGAGGGUUUCCGCCCUUCAGWGCCGGAGCUAACGCAUUAAGCACUCCGCCUGGGGAGUACGACCGCAAGGUUGAAACUCAAAGGAAUUGACGGGGGCCCGCACAAGCGGUGGAGCAUGUGGUUUAAUUCGAAGCUACGCGAAGAACCUUACCAGGUCUUGACAUCUUGCGCCAACCCUAGAGAUAGGGCGUUUCCUUCGGGAACGCAAUGACAGGUGGUGCAUGGUCGUCGUCAGCUCGUGUCGUGAGAUGUUGGGUUAAGUCCCGCAACGAGCGCAACCCUUGUUACUAGUUGCCAGCAUUAAGUUGGGCACUCUAGUGAGACUGCCGGUGACAAACCGGAGGAAGGUGGGGAUGACG